AACGCUGGCGGCGUGCUUAACACAUGCAAGUCGAACGAGAAGAGAUGAGAAGCUUGCUUCUUAUCGAUUCGAGUGGCAAACGGGUGAGUAACGCGUAAGCAACCUGCCCUUCAGAUGGGGACAACAGCUGGAAACGGCUGCUAAUACCGAAUACGUUCUUUUUGUCGCACGGCAGAGGGAAGAAAGGGAGGCUCUUCGGAGCUUUCGCUGAAGGAGGGGCUUGCGUCUGAUUAGCUAGUUGGAGGGGUAACGGCCCACCAAGGCGACGAUCAGUAGCCGGUCUGAGAGGAUGAACGGCCACAUUGGGACUGAGACACGGCCCAGACUCCUACGGGAGGCAGCAGUGGGGAAUCUUCCGCAAUGGACGAAAGUCUGACGGAGCAACGCCGCGUGAACGAUGACGGCCUUCGGGUUGUAAAGUUCUGUUAUACGGGACGAAUGGUACGACGGUCAAUACCCGUCGUAAGUGACGGUACCGUAAGAGAAAGCCACGGCUAACUACGUG
rnacentral:rRNA from 1 species